rnacentral:rRNA from 1 species
GAUGAACGCUGGCGGCGUGCCUAAUACAUGCAAGUCGAGCGAACGGACGAGGAGCUUGCUCCUCUGACGUUAGCGGCGGACGGGGGAGUAACACGUGGAUAACCUACCUAUAAGACUGGGAUAACUUCGGGAAACCGGAGCUAAUACCGGAUAAUAUAUUGAACCGCAUGGUUCAAUAGUGAAAGACGGUUUUGCUGUCACUUAUAGAUGGAUCCGCGCCGCAUUAGCUAGUUGGUAAGGUAACGGCUUACCAAGGCAACGAUGCGUAGCCGACCUGAGAGGGUGAUCGGCCACACUGGAACUGAGACACGGUCCAGACUCCUACGGGAGGCAGCAGUAGGGAAUCUUCCGCAAUGGGCGAAAGCUUGACGGAGCAACGCCGCGUGAGUGAUGAAGGUCUUCGGAUCGUAAAACUCUGUUAUUAGGGAAGAACAAAUGUGUAAGUAACUAUGCACGUCUUGACGGUACCUAAUCAGAAAGCCACGGCUAACUACGUG